AUCCAGUUGUCGAGUCCCGAAUAGGACGAAAUGCGCAUCCUGGAU
rnacentral:hammerhead_ribozyme from 1 species